rnacentral:rRNA from 1 species
UGGGGAAUAUUGCACAAUGGAGGGAACUCUGAUGCAGCGACGCCGCGUGAGUGAUGAAGGAAUUCGUUUCGUAAAACUCUGUUCUAUGGGAAGAAAAGGACUGUACCAUAGGAGAAAGCUCCGGCUAAAUACGUGCCAGCAGCCGCGGUAAUACGUAUGGAGCGAGCGUUGUCCGGAAUUAUUGGGCGUAAAGGGUGCGCAGGCGGCUUUACAAGUUGGAUGUGAAAUAUUGUGGCUCAACCACAAACGUGCAUCCAAAACUGCAAAGCUUGAGUUAAGGAGGGGUAAGUGGAAUUCCUGGUGUAGCGGUGGAAUGCGUAGGUAUCAGGAGGAAUACCGGUGGCGAAGGCCACUUACUGGACUUAAACGAACGCUCAGGCACGAAAGCGUGGGGAGCAAACAGG